CCUACGGGGGGCAGCAGUGAGGAAUAUUGGUCAAUGGACGUAAGUCUGAACCAGCCAAGUCGCGUGAAGGAUGACGGCUCUAUGGAUCGUAAACUUCUUUUAUAUGGGAAUAAAGUGCGGGAUGUGUACUGUUUUGUAUGUACCAUAUGAAUAAGGAUCGGCUAACUCCGUGCCAGCAGCCGCGGUAAUACGGAGGAUCCGAGCGUUAUCCGGAUUUAUUGGGUUUAAAGGGAGCGUAGGCGGCCUUUUAAGUCAGCGGUGAAAGUCUGUGGCUCAACCAUAGAAUUGCAGUUGAUACUGGGUGGCUUGAGUAUGUUAGAGGCAGGCGGAAUGCGUGGUGUAGCGGUGAAAUGCUUAGAUAUCACGCAGAACCCCGAUUGCGAAGGCAGCCUGCUGGGCCAUGACUGACGCUGAUGCACGAAAGCGUGGGGAUCAAACAGGAUUAGAUACCCUUGUAGUC
rnacentral:rRNA from 1 species